GCUCGAGUGGCGGAAUUGGUAUACGCGCAACACUUAAAAUGUUGUGACCGCAAGGUCAUGUGAGUUCGAUUCUCACCUCGAGCA
rnacentral:tRNA from 1 species